rnacentral:lncRNA from 1 species
GACCCCACAGCAUGAUUUCAUGUUUGUCGGGCCAGCACGGCCCGCUGGCCUACUGCACAGGGCAACUGGCCCAGGAAAAACAUGGCCGUCGUGCAGUGGCACGCUGCAUAUGUUCCCCUUUUUGGUAUCUGCAGAUGCUCAAAGUUCCUCUAUACUCUCCGGCUCAACACUGCAGAAAUGCUUUAUGCCAGAGAUGGUUCCAGGCUGUUUUGGGUGCCCGAAAAGCACCUUCUCUGCGAACCAGCAUGGCAAGACCAUGUGUUGCUGUUGCAGUGCCACUUUUGGUGCCGAUGUUCUUGACGGAAACAAAUGAGCUUCCGUCAUUAACCCCCGUUCCCAUUUUCUGUUUUCAAAACAUCAUUACUUCAUUCUAUUACAAUUGAACAUCACAAUUCCACAUUAAAAUCACUUAAAAAUAAUUCAUAUAAUUAUCAAAUACAAUGAUGAACUCAGUCAUCCUUUCCAUUUAAAACACCACUUUAUUUUACAUUUUAAAGAGAAUUACCACAUGAAAUUCUAUCUAUAAAUGACAUAUUUGUAUCAGCUAGAAUAUCACCCAUCUUACCUCAAAUAAAUAGUAGAAACAAGCUGGAAAAACACAAGGAAAGGUUGGGUUGAAGGCUUGAAGAACAAUUCUGUAAUUGUUGCAGAAAUUGGAAUUAAUUGCUGGUUUUUUUUCAGGAAUGUUAAACUCGUUUAAUCUACUCCUAAUAGACUACUAACAUCCUAACAGUUUACUAACAAGGUAGGAUUAGAAAAUGAAUGAAAUUUGGAAAUAAACAGAAGCAAAGAUCAUAACCUUACUUGCACAGUGGUGACAGCAAGUGUAAGAACAACAAUUCAGUGAAGUUACUGCAAUUUUGGGUUCAAGAAUUUGAAUAGAAGAUGGUUAAGUGUUCCGGUACCAAAAGGAAACUAUUUUAGAAGACGAAGACUCACCUAGAAUAGGACAGACGGAAAAUCUCUUCCUUAUUUACACCAGAUUUUCCUCUUGGGACCAAUUAUAUUCACGCUCUGUUUUUACAUUUUCACUCCACUUGCACUAUUUGUUAUCUCUAUUUUGUUGAGGUUUUGAUUUCAAAUGAAAUAAAAGAGAAGGAGACAAAGAAGAAGCUGAUUUAAAGGGAAUUGAUGGCCAAAUCUUGG